UACGUAGGGUGCAAGCGUUGUCCGGAAUCAUUGGGCGUAAAGAGCGCGUAGGCGGUCCGGUAAGUCCGCUCUGAAAGCCCGGGGCUCAACCCCGGGAGGCGGGCGGAUACUGUCGGGCUAGAGUCCGGAAGAGGCGAGUGGAAUUCCUGGUGUAGCGGUGAAAUGCGCAGACAUCAGGAGGAACACCGAUGGCGAAGGCAGCUCGCUGGGACGGUACUGACGCUGAGGCGCGAAAGCGUGGGGAGCAAACAGG
rnacentral:rRNA from 1 species